rnacentral:rRNA from 1 species
CCUACGGGUGGCAGCAGUCGAGAAUCAUUCACAAUGGGGGAAACCCUGAUGGUGCGACGCCGCGUGGGGGAAUGAAGGUCUUCGGAUUGUAAACCCCUGUCAUGUGGGAGCAAAUUAAAAAGAUAGUACCACAAGAGGAAGAGACGGCUAACUCUGUGCCAGCAGCCGCGGUAAUACAGAGGUCUCAAGCGUUGUUUGGAAUCACUGGGCGUAAAGCGUGCGUAGGCUGUUUCGUAAGUCGUUGGUGAAAGGCGCGGGCUCAACCCGCGGAAGGCACAUGAUACUGCGAGACUAGGGUAAAGGGAGGGGAACCGGAAUUCUCGGUGUAGCAGUGAAAUGCGUAGAUAUCGAGAGGAACACUCGUGGCGAAGGCGGGUUCCUGGACAUUAACUGACGCUGAGGCACGAAGGCCAGGGGAGCGAAAGGGAUUAGAUACCCUAGUAGUC